rnacentral:tRNA from 1 species
UCCCUUGUAGCUCAGUCGGUAAAGAAUCUGCCUGCAUCGCAGGAGACCCAGGUUUGAUCCCUGGGUUGGGAA